rnacentral:rRNA from 1 species
AAUGAACGCUAGCGAUAUGCUUAACACAUGCAAGUCGAAUGGAUAGAGAAAUUUGUCCAUGGCACACGGGUGAGUAACGCGUAGGAAUCUGCCUUUUAGCAUGGGAUAAAAUUUCAGGGAAACUUGAGGUUGAAUACCGUAUAGAUUGAAAGAGUGUAAACUCACUAAAAGAUGAGCCUGCGUAGGAUUAGGUAGUUGGUAGGGGUAAUGGCCUACCAAGCCGAUGAUCCAGCUGGUCUGAGAGGAUGACCAGCCACACUGGGACUGAGACACGGCCCAGACUCCUACGGGAGGCAGCAGUGGGGAAUCUUGGACAAUGGGCGAAAGCCUGAUCCAGCAAUAUCGCGUGGGUGAUGAAGGUCCCUUUUGGUGUAAAGCCCUUUUAUCGAGGAGGAUAAUGACAGUACUACG